AUUGAACGCUGGCGGCAGGCUUAACACAUGCAAGUCGAGCGGAGAUGAGGUGCUUGCACUUUAUCUUAGCGGCGGACGGGUGAGUAAUGCUUAGUAAUCUGCCUAUUAGGGGGGGACAACAUUCCGAAAGGAAUGCUAAUACCGCAAACGUCCUACGGGAACAAGCAGGGGACCUUCGGACCUUGCGCGAAUCGAUGAGCCUAAGUCGGAUUAGCUAGUGGGGGGGGUAAAGGCCGACCAAGGGGACGAUCUGUAGCGGGUCUGUGAGGAUGAUCCGCCACACUGGGACUGGGACACGGCCCAGACUCCUACGGGAGGCAGCAGUGGGGAAUAUUGGACAAUGGGGGGAACCCGGAUCCAGCCAUGCCGCGUGUGUGAAGAAGGCCUUAUGGUUGUAAAGCACUUUAAGCGAGGAGGAGGCUACUGAGACUAAUACUCUUGGAUAGUGGACGUUACUCGCAGAAUAAGCACCGGCUAACUCUGUGCCAGCCGCCGCCGUAAGAC
rnacentral:rRNA from 1 species